ensembl:snRNA U6 U6 spliceosomal RNA
UUGCUCACUUCAGCUGUAUAUAUGUUAAAAUUGGAAUGAUACAAAGAUUAGUAUGGCCCUUUUGCAAAAACGACAUGUGAAUUCAUGAAGCAUCCUGUAUGUUU